CCUACGGGAGGCAGCAGUGGGGAAUAUUGGACAAUGGGCGAAAGCCUGAUCCAGCAAUGCCGCGUGAGUGAUGAAGGCCUUCGGGUCGUAAAGCUCUUUUACCAGGGAUGAUAAUGACAGUACCUGGAGAAUAAGCUCCGGCUAACUCCGUGCCAGCAGCCGCGGUAAUACGGAGGGAGCUAGCGUUGUUCGGAAUUACUGGGCGUAAAGAGUACGUAGGCGGUUAUUCAAGUCAGAGGUGAAAGCCCGGGGCUCAACCCCGGAACUGCCUUUGAAACUAGAUAACUAGAGUCUUGGAGAGGUUAGUGGAAUUCCGAGUGUAGAGGUGAAAUUCGUAGAUAUUCGGAAGAACACCAGUGGCGAAGGCGACUAACUGGACAAGUACUGACGCUGAGGUACGAAAGCGUGGGGAGCAAACAGGAUUAGAUACCCUGGUAGUCCACGCCGUAAACGAUGAUAACUAGUUGUUCGGUCACUUGGUGACUGAGUGACGCAGCUAACGCAUUAAGUUAUCCGCCUGGGGAGUACGGUCGCAAGAUUAAAACUCAAAGAAUUGACGG
rnacentral:rRNA from 1 species